rnacentral:rRNA from 1 species
AUUGAACGCUGGCGGCAGGCUUAACACAUGCAAGUCGAGCGGGGGAAGGUAGCUUGCUACCGGACCUAGCGGCGGACGGGUGAGUAAUGCUUAGGAAUCUGCCUAUUAGUGGGGGACAACAUCUCGAAAGGGAUGCUAAUACCGCAUACGUCCUAUGGGAGAAAGCAGGGGAUCUUCGGACCUUGCGCUAAUAGAUGAGCCUAAGUCGGAUUAGCUAGUUGGUGGGGUAAAGGCCUACCAAGGCGACGAUCUGUAGCGGGUCUGAGAGGAUGAUCCGCCACACGGGGACUGAGACACGGCCCAGACUCCUACGGGAGGCAGCAGUGGGGAAUAUUGGACAAUGGGGGGAACCCUGAUCCAGCCAUGCCGCGUGUGUGAAGAAGGCCUUAUGGUUGUAAAGCACUUUAAGCGAGGAGGAGGCUACUUUAGUUAAUACCUAGAGAUAGUGGACGUUACUCGCAGAAUAAGCACCGGCUAACUCUGUGCCAGCAGCCGCAGUAA